AUUGAACGCUGGCGGCAUGCCUCACACAUGCAAGUCGAACGGUAACGGGUUAAGCUGACGAGUGGCGAACGGGUGAGUAAUGUAUCGGAACGUGCCCAGUCGUGGGGGAUAACUGCUCGAAAGAGCAGCUAAUACCGCAUACGACCUGAGGGUGAAAGCGGGGGAUCGCAAGACCUCGCGCGAUUGGAGCGGCCGAUAUCAGAUUAGGUAGUUGGUGAGGUAAAGGCUCACCAAGCCGACGAUCUGUAGCUGGUCUGAGAGGACGACCAGCCACACUGGGACUGAGACACGGCCCAGACUCCUACGGGAGGCAGCAGUGGGGAAUUUUGGACAAUGGGCGCAAGCCUGAUCCAGCCAUGCCGCGUGCGGGAAGAAGGCCUUCGGGUUGUAAACCGCUUUUGUCAGGGAAGAAAAGGUUCUGGCUAAUACCUGGGACUCAUGACGGUACCUGAAGAAUAAGCACCGGCUAACUACGUGCCAGCCGCCGCCGUAAAAC
rnacentral:rRNA from 1 species